UGGGGAAUCUUGCGCAAUGGGCGAAAGCCUGACGCAGCAACGCCGCGUGGGUGAUGAAGGUCUUCGGAUUGUAAAACCCUGUCGUUAGGGACGAAGACAUAAAUCCUAAUACGAUUUAUGUUUGACGGUACCUAGAAAGGAAGCCCCGGCUAACUCUGUG
rnacentral:rRNA from 2 species